rnacentral:misc_RNA from 1 species
UUCAUUAAUUAAAUAAUUAGUCAAGACAAUGCCAUGUUCAAGUCCUAAUUUUACCUAGGACGAGUUCAGUCAACUACUCGGGAGUCAUAACAACCCCAAGUUAAUUUUAAAAAUCCAAAAAUGAUCCUUCCGCAGGUUCACCUACGGAAA